CCGCGAAUUCGCCCUUCUGGUUGAUCCUGCCAGAGGUCACUGCUAUCGGUGUUCGACUAAGCCAUGCGAGUCAAAUGUUCUUCGUGAACAUGGCGUACUGCCCAGUAACACGUGGAUAACCUGCCCUUAGGACUGGCAUAACCCCGGGAAACUGGGGAUAAUUCCGGAUAGUUCAUGGUAGCUGGAAUGCUCCAUGAUCGAAAGCUAUUGCGCCUAAGGAUGGGUCUGCGGUCUAUCAGGUAGUAGUGGGUGUAAUGUACCUACUAGCCGACGACGGAUACGGGUUGUGGGAGCAAGAGCCCGGAGAUGGAUUCUGAGACAUGAAUCCAGGCCCUACGGGGCGCAGCAGGCGCGAAAACUUUACAAUGCGGGAAACCGCGAUAAGGGGACACCGAGUGCCAGCAUCUUAUGUUGGCUGUCCGCAUGUAUAAAUCACAUGUGUUAGCAAGGGCCGGGCAAGACCGGUGCCAGCCGCCGCGGUAACACCGGCGGCCCGAGUGGUGGCCACUAUUAUUGGGUCU
rnacentral:rRNA from 1 species